AGCGAACGCUGGCGGCAGGCCUAACACAUGCAAGUCGAACGAACCUUUCGGGGUUAGUGGCGGACGGGUGAGUAACACGUGGGAACGUGCCUUUAGGUUCGGAAUAACUCAGGGAAACUUGUGCUAAUACCGAAUGUGCCCUUCGGGGGAAAGAUUAAUCGCCUUUAGAGCGGCCCGCGUCUGAUUAGCUAGUUGGUUGAGGUAAUGGCUCACCAAGGCGACGAUCAGUAGCUGGUCUGAGAGGAUGAUCAGCCACAUUGGGACUGAGACACGGCCCAAACUCCUACGGGAGGCAGCAGUGGGGAAUCUUGCGCAAUGGGCGAUAGCCUGACGCAGCCAUGCCGCGUGAAUGAUGAAGGUCUUAGGAUUGUAAAAUUCUUUCACCGGGGACGAUAAUGACGGUACCCGGAGAAGAAGCCCCGGCUAACUUCGUG
rnacentral:rRNA from 1 species